rnacentral:rRNA from 1 species
GACGAACGCUGGCGGCGUGCCUAAUACAUGCAAGUUGAGCGCUGAAGGUUGGUACUUGUACCAACAGGAUGAGCAGCGAACGGGUGAGUAACGCGUGGGGAAUCUGCCUUUGAGCGGGGGACAACAUUUGGAAACGAAUGCUAAUACCGCAUAAAAACUUUAAACACAAGUUUUAAGUUUGAAAGAUGCAAUUGCAUCACUCAAAGAUGAUCCCGCGUUGUAUUAGCUAGUUGGUGAGGUAAAGGCUCACCAAGGCGAUGAUACAUAGCCGACCUGAGAGGGUGAUAGGCCACAUUGGGACUGAGACACGGCCCAAACUCCUACGGGAGGCAGCAGUAGGGAAUCUUCGGCAAUGGACGAAAGUCUGACCGAGCAACGCCGCGUGAGUGAAGAAGGUUUUCGGAUCGUAAAACUCUGUUGGUAGAGAAGAACGUUGGUGAGAGUGGAAAGCCCAUCAAGUGACGGUAACUACCCAGAAAGGGACGGCUAACUACGUG